rnacentral:rRNA from 1 species
AGGGUUUGAUCCUGGCUCGGGAUGAACGCUAGCUACAGGCUUAACACAUGCAAGUCGAGGGGCAUCAGUUUGGUUUGCUUGCAAACCAAAGCUGGCGACCGGCGCACGGGUGAGUAACACGUAUCCAACCUGCCUCAUACUCGGGGAUAGCCUUUCGAAAGAAAGAUUAAUAUCCGAUAGCAUAUAUUUCCCGCAUGGGUUUUAUAUUAAAGAAAUUCGGUAUGAGAUGGGGAUGCGUUCCAUUAGUUUGUUGGCGGGGUAACGG